rnacentral:tRNA from 1 species
GGGAUUGUAGCUCAGGGUAGAUCACAUGCCUAGCAUGCAUGAAACACUGGGUUCAACCCCCAGCAACACA